rnacentral:rRNA from 1 species
UACGUAGGGUGCAAGCGUUAAUCGGAAUUACUGGGCGUAAAGCGUGCGCAGGCGGUUGUGCAAGACAGAUGUGAAAUCCCCGGGCUUAACCUGGGAACUGCAUUUGUGACUGCACGGCUAGAGUGUGUCAGAGGGGGGUAGAAUUCCACGUGUAGCAGUGAAAUGCGUAGAUAUGUGGAGGAAUACCGAUGGCGAAGGCAGCCCCCUGGGAUAACACUGACGCUCAUGCACGAAAGCGUGGGGAGCAAACUGG